rnacentral:rRNA from 1 species
CAGCAGCCGCGGUAAUACGUAGGGUGCGAGCGUUAAUCGGAAUUACUGGGCGUAAAGCGUGCGCAGGCGGUUAUAUAAGACAGAUGUGAAAUCCCCGGGCUCAACCUGGGACCUGCAUUUGUGACUGUAUAGCUAGAGUACGGUAGAGGGGGAUGGAAUUCCGCGCGUAGCAGUGAAAUGCGUAGAUAUGCGGAGGAACACCGAUGGCGAAGGCAAUCCCCUGGACCUGUACUGACGCUCAUGCACGAAAGCGUGGGGAGCAAACAGGAUUAGAUACCCCCGUAGUCCCUGUCUCUUAUAC